GUGGCGGGGGGGCGGCCACUCUCCGAGGGGCGGCGCGCCCGCGGCGCUGGCCCCCUCCGAGCAGGCCCCCACCGAGGCGCAGCAUGGUGCGCUGCGUCCCGCCCGUCGCGCUGGCGCUCGUCGCGGUGCUCGUCGCGGUGCUGGCGACCGCGCGCGCCCAGGAGGAGCACGACCAGGGCAGGACAGAAUCCGCCAUCUCGGUGUGCGACUCGAUCAGCUGCGAGCUCGACUGCCGGAAGAAGACCAAGGACUGCGGCGCAUUCGGCUGCAACGGCGUGUGCAUCGGCUUCUCGUGCCAGUGCUUCACCAAGCCCCGGGCGCCCAGCGGCGGCUGGAAGGAGUACAACCCCCUCGCGGAGGGGUACGAGUCACUCUAUGGCACCCUGUACGACUCCGGAGGAGGAUCACAACCCGUCCUUCAACAACAACUACAACAACAACAGCAGCAGCAGCAGAUGCUGCUACUGCAACAGACGCAGCAACAGCCACAACAACAGUUCUUCCAACCGCCACCGCCGCCACCACCACCGGCACCCACUCAACAACCCCCACUGGUGGUGGUCCAGCAGCAGCAGCUCCACCAGAUACAACAGCAGCAGCACCAGCACCAACAGCAGCAGCAGCAACAGCAACAGUUGUACCUGCAGCUGCAGCUCCAGCUGCGGCAGCGCGUCCAGGAGCAGCUGCAGCAGCAGGCGCAGCAGCACCAACAGCUGACCCAGCAGCUCAGCCAGCAGACAGAGCAGGCCGAGCUGCAGGACACGCAACCACACUUACAGCAAUUGCAACAACAACAACAACAACAACAACAACAACAACAACAACAACAGUGGCAACAAGUUCAACAAUACGACAACGUGCAGCAACUGCGUUAACGGCUGACUUGUUAUUUGGUGCGGCGGGGUGGGCUGGGCUAACAGGGCACUCCAGUCUAUUUGGAACGCAGAGGACAAACUCUCCCAAUCUGCUGUUUGAGUUUGUCCACGCCUCUACAUCUUGUUACUCUUUCUACUUCCGGUCUCAGCGCAACUCGGGUUACGUGAUUAGAAGAACCAUACGCGUCUGUUAGAGGAUUUCGUUCCAACAAGAAUUUUUCCUAAAUUGUGUAA